GGGAACCUCACCCGGCCCGGACACCGCGAGGAUUGACAGACUGAGAGCUCUUUCUCGAUUCGGUGGGUGGUGGUGCAUGGCCGUUCUUAGUUGGUGGAGCGAUCUGUCUGGUUAAUUCCGAUAACGAACGAGACCCCAACCUGCUAACUAGCCCUCGGGUCCUGCUUCUGUUGGGCCCGACGGAAUGAUUCGCUUCUAGAGGGACUCGCGGCGCCUAGCCGCACGAAGGGGGGCGAUAA
rnacentral:rRNA from 1 species